UACGUAGGGGGCAAGCGUUGUCCGGAAUCAUUGGGCGUAAAGAGCGUGUAGGCGGCCCGGUAAGUCCGCUGUGAAAGUCCAGGGCUCAACCCUGGAAUGCCGGUGGAAACUGUCGGGCUAGAGUCCGGAAGAGGCGAGUGGAAUUCCUGGUGUAGCGGUGGAAUGCGUAGAGAUCCGGAAGAACACCGGUGGCGAAGGCGGCCUGCUGGGCAGUAGCUGACGCUGAUGCGCGACAGCGUGGGGAGCAAACAGG
rnacentral:rRNA from 1 species